GCUGGGUGUAGUGAUGCACACCUGUAAUCCCCGUAGCUCAGGAGGCUGAGGCAGGAGGAUUGUGAGUUCAAAGCUAGCCUCAGCAACUGUGAGGCACUAGCAACUCAGUGAGACCCUGUCUCUA
rnacentral:sRNA from 1 species